ACUUAUCCUCCAAUCAAAUUGGAGUUGUACUUCCGCAUGCUCCGUCCUCUGACGCAAUAACAAUGGGGAGUGUAUUGGCCGCUGGCUCCCCUCACCCACCGCCACCAUCCCCAGCUGGUGUGGCUGGUCCCGGCUUGACAGUCCCACCCGGCUUUGGGAUGCCUUCGGUAACUUCAGUACCACCCUCGACCGGUCUGACUUCAGCACAGCCACAGGAAGAAACCAAUCCUCUGCCAAAUCCUGGUACAUUUGAUGAAUGUCAUCGCAAAUGCAAAGAUGUUUUCCCGAUGCAGAUGGAAGGCGUCAGACUAGUUGUCAAUAAGGGUCUUAGUAACCACUUCCAGGUGAGCCACACUGUGUUGCUGAGCACUUUGGGGGAUUCCAGCUACAGAUUUGGUGCCACAUAUGUUGGACUAAAGCAAACCGGUCCAGCAGAGUCUUUUCCAGUCAUGGUGGGUGACAUGGACAACCUUGGCAGCCUUAAUGCUCAAGUCAUCCACCAGAUCAGCAACAGCGUACGAUCCAAAAUGGCCUUCCAGACACAGCAACAUAAAUUUGUCAACUGGCAAGGCGAUGCAGAAUUCAGAGGAAAAGAUUUUACAGCAACAAUCACACUCGGAAACCCCGAUGUCCUUAAUGGCUCUGGUAUCGUCGUAACGCACUACCUCCAGGCCCUCACGCCUGCUCUGGCUCUGGGAGGGGAGCUGGUGUACCAUCGAAGGCCAUCAGAGGAGGGUGCUGUGAUGUCUUUGGUUGGCAGAUACACAGGCAACAACUACAUCGCCACGGCAACUCUGGGAUCAGCCGGCGCGCACGCCACCUACUACCACAGAGCUAAUGAGCAGUUGCAGUUGGGUGUGGAGUUUGACGCAAGUACUCGCAUGCAAGAUACUAGCGUGUCCUUUGGCUACCAGCUCGAUGUGCCCAAAGCCAAUUUACAGUUUAAAGGCUCAGUAGACAGUAACUGGGUGGUUGGUGCAACUCUAGAAAAGAAGUUACCACCGCUGCCUCUCUCCUUGGUUAUCUCCUCCUUCCUCAACCAUAACAAGAACAAGUUCCAGUGCGGUUUCGGCGUUACGAUCGGUUAAGCUGAGCGGCUGCAUGUUUAGUGACCUUAGCUGGAUGGACUCGCUCACUUUGCCAUGAGAAGUUAUUGGACAAAAAGGCCACAGCCUCCCAGAGAGUUUCAUUGUGGUAUGUAAAUGUUUUUAUCUCUUCACAUACUGUGCAAAGCUGCAGAUGCAAAAAUAGUUCACUUAAACGCUGAUUUACAUUUUCAGCGAAGAAGAUGAAUGAUGAAGGACUUAUGCAUUCAAUUGUAGCAACAGUGAAAUAGUAGCUGACCUGCUAUCUUAUCCAUUGAUGUGUUGGUAAUGAUGUCACAACUCGUCACUAUUGACAUGUGACGGAGUGACCUUUAUCAUGUUCAAAUAAAUCAUACCAAAUAAAUUGUUUUUCCCCCAUUAAAAAAAAAAAAAAAUCCUUUCAAUGUUUUAGCUUUGAAUUUAGCCAGGACAAAUGCAACAAUUCAUUAUGUUUAUUAUAUACAGGAAAAACAAAAGCAUUUUGUAAAUUCAUCAGUCAUUUUAUAAAUGAUUGAACACGAGAGGGUCUUCAGACCAGAGUGAUUGUAUCAAGGCUCUUGAAUUGCGCAACGCAAGUGACAACCUCGCAUUCUCAGCUGGACUUUACUCCUCCGCUACCUCCAUAUAAACUCAU